CUGUUGUGUUGUUAGAGCUGUGGCUAGCACAGCGGGUGUGUGGUUUUCGCUUCUCUAUCAGGUUCACUGCUGUUCCUCUAAAAUGCUGGGGUUGUGUAGACCCUCAGCAGCUAACCUUCCAUCCUGGUUCACUGAGAGUCAAGGACCUUGAUAAAUAUGAAACCUAUGCAGCCAUGAACUCCAUCAAAUACCUGAACUACAAGACUCAGACCCUCAGCUGGUGAUGAGGUUUGAGCCCUCAUUCAAGGAAAAGUACUACAGUGAAGAAAAUGAAGCCACACAUUCCAGGAGGAGAAUGGGCCACAAGUUAGGAAGGGAUUAAGAAACAACACUCAAACUCGUGUGAUGAUGUAAAAGACCGAAGAGAGAAAUGCAGUUUACUCUUGGAAGGAUAGUGUCUGCUAUUGUUUCUACAUGGCCCAGAGGAUAUUUUCAUUCUAACGAGGCAACUCCUGUAAAAGUGUGGACCCCAAAGGGGUCACCACCCACAGGUUGAGAACACUGCCUUGAGGCAUGUCAAAUGACUCAGCAAUGAAGCUCCAGAUGCUGCAACACAUCAAAAAGGAGACAAUUUAGAAGAAGCUAGAAUGCUAGAAGCAGCACUGUGGACUGAAAACUAUUCCAUGUGUUUAAACUUUCGAGGAUGCCUUCCAAUGGGGCCCUCUCUUGCCAGUGGAUCACAUGGCGACUCCAGAGCAGAGACCAGGAGGAAGAGAGAAGGGAAAAAGAAACGACGUCCUUCUUGUCCUUGCUUAUAUAUGAGUCUGCCUGGUAUGCCACUUCCUGCCAGUAUCAUAAGACUUCCUUUUACUACAUUUCCCAGAAUCCUCCAUGAUUCCUAGUCCCACCUAUCUUGCUUCCUCAUUAGCCAAACAGUACUUUAUUUAUCAACCAGGAAAAGAGGCAUAUACACAGAAAGAUGUCCCCCAUCAGGGUUGCAUUGCAAGAAGAACAAAUUAACAAAUAUAAUGCCAAGAGGCUAUCAAAUCUUCUCCACAGCAUUUGACUGAAUUGGGAUUGAAAAGUCUUAUUUCUUACUAAGAAAUUCUUAGUUAUUAAGAGAGAUUCAGAAUCUGUGAGGUUAAGGUAUCUUUUACUAGAUAAAUACCAGCCAAAUGCAAGCCAGAGCGUGACAGGGGCAGCAAGGCAG
rnacentral:lncRNA from 1 species